AGUUUAGUUUAUUGUUGCGUAUACCGAGGUACAGUGAAAAGUUUUUGUUGCGCGCUAACCAGUCAGCAGAAAUACAUGCUUACAACCGAUCCAUUCGCAGUGUAUAGAUACGUGAUAAAGGGAAU